CACCCCUGCCUCCGAGGUCACAACUUCUCCUCUCCCGAUGGAUCACACCGUGGAAUUAUAAAGACGGUGUCACAACCUUCCUCGCCAAACCGUCAACAGUUGCAGGAGGAACAUUAGUCAAUAUUAGCAGGAGGAACCUCAAACAAAAUGCCGGCUGCCCUCGGCGGCUGGGUGCACAGGAGCGGCGGCGCCGGAGACGGCGUGCCAGAAAGUGAGAUCCUGGUGUGACUGGGAAGCCGAGAUACUCCACCAGUCUGUGCGAAUUUGAAUGCCGGGCCGUUUUCUCCAUCAGGCACGGUCAGACGGGCGCCAGCGCUCACACCUGACCGCAAUCUUCUCAUCAGUCUGCUACGGGACAAAGAAAGCUGCCGGAUGACCGUUCUUGGCCCGAUGAUCAACCUUUGAGGCACAGCCAAGCGUCAAGGGAAUAUUUACCUCUGAGACAAAGGAGCCUUCUGAAGAAUACAACGCUUGUCUUUUGCUGUUUUUUUGGGGGGGUGAAAAAAGAACUAAUUACUGGAAGCAUUCCAGUCAAGCGCAGUCUUCUUCAUCUAUUGACUCAAAGUAUGAAGAACAGCUUGAUUGGACGAUUUGAAAUGAGCUGCUUCAUUCUGAUUGCAUUCUCCACAGAGCUGCUCAGUUAUCAUGUGACUGUUCUGUUUCAUAUUAAGCUAUCGUCAUGGAGCUUUAGAUAUGUGAAGCUGUUUUUUAUGGUGAAAAAUAUUGUUUUUUUUAUUUUGAUGAAUAACACUUUCUUGUUUGAUCAUCCUCUACGGUGUAAUCUAGUAAACAAUCCUGGGAUUAUGAGGUUCCGGCUUCCAUGUGCUUCUGUGGUUGACCAAUGGACAGACACACUGUUAAUAUUUUACCUAUUCCCUGUUUGCUGCAUCAGAAACAGAUAAAUUAAGAUAAAUACAACAUGCAGUUCAAAUUAUUUAAGGGAAUAAAGUCUUCCAGAUCAACCUGAUCCCAUGGGGAAAAUGUAACUGUCAUCCU